rnacentral:rRNA from 1 species
ACUCAAAUGAAUUGACGGGGGCCCGCACAAGCGGCGGAGCAUGUGGCUUAAUUCGAGGCAACGCGAAGAACCUUACCUGGGUUGAACUACGCAGGAAAAGCCGUAGAGAUACGGUGUCCUUCGGGGCCUGUGAUAGGUGGUGCAUGGCUGUCGUCAGCUCGUGUCGUGAGAUGUUGGGUUAAGUCCCGCAACGAGCGCAACCCUUGUCCUAUGUUGCCAGCGGGUAAUGCCGGGGACUCGUAGGAGACUGCCGGGGUCAACUCGGAGGAAGGUGGGGAUGACGUCAAGUCAUCAUGCCCCUUACGUCCAGGGCUGCACACAUGCUACAAUGGCCGGUACAAAGGGCUGCUAUUCCGCGAGGAUGAGCGAAUCCCAAAAAGCCGGUCUCAGUUCGGAUUGGAGUCUGCAACUCGACUCCAUGAAGUCGGAGUCGCUAGUAAUCCCGAAUCAGCAACGUCGGGGUGAAUACGUUCCCGGGCCUUGUACACACCGCCCGU